GGACUACCGGGGUAUCUAAUCCUGUUUGCUCCCCACGCCUUCGCGCCUCAGCGUCAGUCUCGGUCCAGAGCGCCGCCUUCGCCACCGGUGUUCUUCCCAAUAUCUACGAAUUUCACCUCUACACUGGGAAUUCCACGCUCCUCUCCCGAACUCCAGCACCACAGUCUCGAGCGCAAUUCCCAGGUUGAGCCCGGGGCUUUCACACUCGACUUGCGGCGCCGCCUACGCGCCCUUUACGCCCAGUAAAUCCGAACAACGCUCGCCCCCUUCGUAUUACCGCGGCUGCUGGCAC
rnacentral:rRNA from 1 species